UCAUCUCUCUGAGCAUCACAUGACCUUCUCCUCAGUAAGACACAUUCUCUAAUAGUGAGACUGAAGCAGAAGUUUUAGGUUCAUCAUCAAUGUCCUGAGGAGGAAGAUUGUUUCUUUCCACUGCACACUGAUGAUUUCUCACAGAGUCUGAUGUAACUGCAAUGUGUCUGAAAUUACUGUGAAAUUUACUAAAACAUUGGAACUAAUGACACAAACUGGAGCUGGGACACAAACUAAAUGUACUGUGUGAGCUGCAGGGUUUAAAAGCAGCACUGACAUGGAAAUGAUGGAAAUAAAUAGAACUUGGAGACUAAACUUACACAAGAGUCUCUGGUCAGCUCACACUAUCAGAAUAUAUAAUUGAUGGAUUUACCCUCCAUCAGGGGCAGAAGGGCUGCAUGAUGAAGGUUAAAAUGAUCAUCAAGAGGCAGUUAUCUGUCAGCUAUCAGCUUUUUUAUUUCACUUAUAAACAGAAGAGAAAUAAAGAAGUUCUGUGUAUUAUAAUAUAAGAAGAUGUAAAAUUGUGUUCAGUGUACAAGUGGGUCUGUUUUACACUCUAACUGUUAUAAUAAAAUUAAAUUGUAAUAAGA